AGUGAACGCUGGCGGUAGGCCUAACACAUGCAAGUCGAACGUCAGCACAGUAAGAGCUUGCUCUUACGGGUGGCGAGUGGCGGACGGGUGAGGAAUACUUCGGAAUCUACUUUUUCGUGGGGGAUAACGUAGGGAAACUUACGCUAAUACCCCAUCCGACCUACGGGUGAAAUCAGGGUAUCUUCGUACCUUGCGCGUUUAAUUGAGCCGUUGUCGGAUUAGCUAGUUGGCGGGGAAAAGGCCCUACAAGGCGACGAUCCGUAGCUGGUCUGAGAGGAUGAUCAGGCACACUGGAACGGAAGAACGGUCCAGACCACUACGAGAGGCAGAAGUGGGGAAUAUUGGACAAUGGGCGAAAGCCUGAUCAAGCCAUACAGCGUGGGUGAAGAAGGCCUUCGGGUGGUAAAGCCCUUUUGUGGGGAAAGAAAAGCAGCAGGUUAAUACCCCGCUGUUCUGACGGUACCCAAAGAAUAAGCACCGGCUAACUUCGUG
rnacentral:rRNA from 1 species